GACAGAGGGGGCAAGCGUUGCUCGGAAUCACUGGGCGUAAAGGGCGCGUAGGCGGGCGGGCAAGUCGGCUGUGAAAUGCGUGGGCUCAACCCACGGGGGACGGUCGAAACUGCCGGUCUUGAGGGGGGCAGAGGAGUCUGGAAUUCCCGGUGUAGCGGUGAAAUGUGUAGAGAUCGGGAGGAACACCGGUGGCGAAGGCGGGGCUCUGGGCCCACUCUGACGCUGAGGCGCGAAAGCGUGGGGAGCAAACGGG
rnacentral:rRNA from 1 species